UUUUGAAUCGUUUGGCAUUUUUCUCAUGUUCUUCAAGUACGUAAGUUUUUUUCCUUUUUUGCAUGGGUUUAUUUAUUCAAUGCAAGAUUCUUUUAUAAAAGAACCUUUUAUGUUUGAAUAGAUUCUACAGAAAAGCUUCUUAGUUCUCACUCCUGGGUUUUAGCUGUUUUGUUUAUUGAAUUUGAGCAUAAUAUUGAAUGUGACUAAGAGUGUUCUCUUUUUCUUUUCUUUUUUUUAAUACCAAAAUUCUGACCUUUUUCAACUUUUGUUUUACUAAAGUUUCCUUGGAAGAACUCCAGAUCAUGAUCUAGGGGCGGCCGACCGCUUCGCCCCCGGUGGAUUGCCGACCCCUAUCACCUCUUUCGUUUUUCUUUCUAUUCUACGGAUUUCUUCCCUCCUCAGGCCAAAUAAAAUCUCCUUUGAGGAGAUGGCGGUCGGAGAGCUCAUCGGCGGUCCUGGUGGUGGGAGCUGAGAGACGUUCCUGGGCUGUGAGUCGCUUAUCCCUUGAACGAAAAUAAAUCUAUAUUUUAUAUAUUUAAAAUAAAUCUAUAUGUUAUCCCCACAUAUAUGAAUGGUUCCAUAUAUAAGAAAAAAGGUACCCAAUUCCAUUUUACGGAGUUGCAAUUAUAUAUUCCAAAUAAUUUUAUUUUUACAGGUAAAUGCUCAAUACCCAAGUAGGCAUGCAAAGUUGAUCGUGAUCAAAUGCUUUAUGGGUAGUUUUAAGCCUUGCGAUUCACCUUUAUCUCAAAACUAUAUCGAGAUUUUUUACACACAAAGGAUUUACUUGUUACUAAUAUAGUCUAGCUUUCUUGAGCUGCUUUGCUUCUUCACCCUUCAAGGCGGGACGAUCUUUUUUUUGAGGAGGGAGCGACAAGGAUCGUCGGUGCAAUGGUCCUCCAUUGUGGUGAUUUUGUUGGUGUGGGCGGCGACUCUAUCUCCCUGUUUUCUUCUUAGAUUAAUGGGGGAUUUUAGAAUAUAUCUAAUUUUUAUUUUUAUUUGUGUCCUGAUGCUUCCCUUCAAUAGUUCAUGAGUUUUUUUUAUUUUUAGUAAAAUUUCUAAGCAAAGCAAACGUAAUUGUCUUCAUUGGCCUACUUUUUCUUGGCAAUUAUAUUUACAGUUCGGCUUUUUAAAAAGCCUUUUUUUCCCCAUGGUUUGAUGAUUAAAAUAUGGCAAAUUGGAUUGUUUCAAAUUUCAAGGGUUUUAAGUUUAAAUACUUUGAUGCUUGUUUAGAUUAAUGAAAAUUAUUAUUUUUAAGAGAAAAAUUAUUUUAAAAGUUAUACUGAAAUUCUACAUUAUUAUUGAUCUAUGUUGUUUACUGAUAGAGAAAGGAAAACGCGUCCUACAAUAAGUAUUUUAACUGCCACAUCAGUGAAAAUGAGUCAUAUAGGACGUGUUUUUAGUCUUUCUCCUGAAAACACGUCUUACGUGGCGUGUUUUAACUGAUGCGGUAGUGAAACGCUCCCUAUAGCACAUGUUUUCACUUACCUAAAUUUUCUUUUUCUUUUUUCUUAUGGUUGGAAAUUAGAAGUUUGUAGAUUUAUUUUUAUUUGUGUUUGAGAUAAGCAUAAUAAUAGUUUUAAAGAAUAAAUCGGUAAAUUUUAAAAUUUUCAGCCUACUUUCUCAAUUGUCUUUCUUUUUCGGCAUAUAUAUAUAAAGUAACCCCAAACAAAUCUAUUAAAUCUAUUUAUUUCUAUUACUUUUUCAUUCAUAUUUUUUUCCGUCGAUUUGUUAAGUAUAAAAUUUUUACAAAGUGAAGAUUUCCCAAUUUUGGCUAAAACUUUGGCUUGGGUAUUGUAACAUAUCUUAUUUGAAAAGUACUAAUAACUUCCACUUUACAGAAAAAAUUAAUAAAUAAACGGAUAAGUUGGUAAGUUAGUGUUUUAAUUAGCUCUUCUCUUCAAUGCUCCCGGGUUGUGUGGACAUGUUGGCUUCAUAUGCCCUGGGUUCCUACAGUAUGUGCAUAACCUCAAUAUGUCUCCCCACUCUUGAAUAUCCAUAUUUCCUCGUUUUUGAGUUGAGUUCGAUUGACCUUUAGGCUUGUGCCACUAGUUCUUAUCUGUUAAUCAAAUUGAAUGUUUUAGCUAUGAAUCAAAUUGAAUAUUAACAUUUGAAUUAAUGUGUCACCUUAUUUUUUCGUUAAGACUGUAAUGAUCAUUAAUGGACGAGUGAUCAAAACGUUAUAAGUCAAUAAUGUUAGUGACUAAAAUGUAACUUUUCGUAGUUCAAUGACAAAAAAAAUUUCAGUAAACGUUAAUGACCAUUAUUAUAGCUUACCCUAUAUUAUAUCUUAUUUUACUAUAUCUUAAGAAUAUAUUACAUCAUUCUAGACCUUCAUCAUUCUAGAUCCAUUUGUCAAGUUAUAUAUAUAUAUAUUAAAAUUGAUGUAUUAGCAUUGGCAUUGAUGCUAGUGUAGGAAGAUGUGGGUUCGAGUGUGCUGAAACGUGUUUAUCCUCCUAUUUAAGGGCUGGGAUGGGUUAUGGGUAGUUCUAAACAUUGUAUCAAAAAAAUUAGAGUAUUCUCUAUACUAUUAUUUAAACUCUUGAUUGAGUUGGUGUCAUGUAUCAACCAGGUACCAACUCGGUCGAGGAAAUUAUGGAAAUGUCAUUUCGUAAUUAAAUCAAAUUAUAUUAUUCGAGGGUGUUUUAAUAUUCUUAUUUUUUUAAAAAAAACCAAUAAGAAACAUGCAUAAUGUGGAAUUUGAAUCCAUGCUAGUUAAGUUAAUAAAACAUUUAAUUUAC
rnacentral:lncRNA from 1 species